UAAUCUGCAGAGAGAACUACCUCCUGGGGCUGCUGCUGGGACGAAGUGAGCACAGCGCCUGGAAGUGCUGACGAAACACCAGCUCCCGUUAUGAUCAUCAGUUAGCACCAGUGAAGAUGUUGUCAGCGUGAAAGGAUCCUCAAACGUCUCCAUCUCAGACUUCCUGAUUCUUGAAACUAACAAGGCUCCAGGCACCUGGCUUCAGCAGUGGUGACGUGUGGACUCACAGGCUGAGCUGCUCCGCGGCACGUGGGAGCUUCCCGGACCAGGCAUGGAACUGGUCUCGCACGCAUUGCAAGGCAGAUUCUUAACCACUGGACCACCUGGAAAGGCCUAGUAUAGAGUUCUUUAAGGCAAGCAGAAGCCUCUCCAAGUUUAACAUUGAUUUGAUACAGCACUGAAUCUCCAAAGAACCUCUCCUGGUUCUUUUGACAAGACUACAGUCAUCUUUGAUGCUUGCUUGUCUUCUGGUUUGACUUUGUGAAGGCUUUGUGAAGUCUGGAAACAGGCCUGGAAUUAGCCGUGUCUCCGAGUGCUGCUAAGUGCCCUCAGCCUGUCCUUCCACCCAGCCCUCAACCUCACUGACUCACUUCGGCCCCUCACGGCACUCUCCUGGUUGCCCUGGGCUCCUCACACCAGGACCUGGGACUAACCCAAGUGAGGCAGCAGGCCGGCUUCCAGGGGAGACCACGCUGCUGCGACCAGGCCCGGAGCCGGCCCCCUGCCCCGCCUGCACCCACUCACCCCAUCCCCCGGGAGCACCCCCUCAAUGCAUCACUUACACGGCGGAGCCCCCAGGCUCCCAACUGAAAAUCCUGGCUCUGAAAAUAUCAACAUACCUAUUUGCUAGAGUUUCUCAAGUUUUUUGACACAAGGAAAAAAAUCAAUCAUAAAAUAUUUAAUACAACAUUUUGACUUGAAAAGCAAGUUUACAUUGUUUUAGAUAAAACUUGCUUAUUGCAGAGUGUAACAUUUUAAUUCAUGCAAAUGUGUUAUACAAUAGCCCUUAAAACCUCAACUAAGACUUUACACGCUAAGGAGUUUCUAAACAGCUUCUCUUGCCUCUUGACAAGUAGCCCACAGUCGUGACCACAUCAGGUGUACAAGGACACGUCCUUCAAUUAGUAAGUGAGGGCUUUCUCAGCAUCUGCUACUUGUAAUUACCUCUUCUUUACCUUGUGCCUCUCAUACUCCACUGUUGUUUAAUUUAAAAUAAGCUAAAUGUAUCUUCUCUGAUGUUCUUAUCACUUGGGCCCUUCUCCUGUGAACCUUUAUUGUGAUUCUGCCUCUGUGCCUGCAACUGCUGUUUAAACCCAAUUUCCUCUUAAUUGCAAUAAAAUACAUAAAAGAUAAACUCCACCACCUUUCUAAAUAUAUAUCUGGCUGUGUCAGGCCUUAGCUGCAGCAUGUGGGAUCUUCCCUUGCGGCGCACAGACUCUAGUGGGGUUGUAGGCUCAGCAGUGGUGGUGUGCGGGCUUAGUUGCUGGCGGAUUAUGGGAUCUUAGUUUCCCAACCAGGGGUCAAAUCUGCGUCCCCCACACUCCAAAGCAGAUUCUUACCACUGGACCACCAGGGAAGUCCCAACUCUAUGAUCUCAACCUUUCAAAGUUCAGUAUUACCAAGCCCAGUCACCUUGCUGAGCACCCAAUCUCCAAACUCUUUUAGUUUUAAAAAUUGAAAUGCCACACUCCUCAAACACUCCCCAUACCCUCCUCCCCUCACCCCCAGCUACCACCAUUCUACUUUCUGUCUCUAUGAUUCUGCUACUCUAGAACCUCACAGAAGUGCAAUCGCAUAGUAUUUGUCCUUUGGUGACUGUCAUUUCACUUAGCAUAAUGUCCUCAAGGCCCAUCCAUGUUGCAGCAGGUCAGACUUUCCUUCCUCAUUAAGGCUGAACAAUAUUUCAUGGUAUGUAUACAUCAUAUUUUGUUUAUAUAUUAAGCCAUAAAAGGACAGCUGGGGUGCUUCUACCUUUUGGAUAGCAUAAGUAACACUACUGUCAACACCGGCAUGCAAACAUCCCUUCGAGACCUUGCUUUCAGCUCUUCUGGGCAUACAUACCAGACAUACAUACCCAGCUCUUCUGGGCGGCUCAGCGGUAAAGAAACCACCUGCCAACGCAAGAGACCUGGGUUCGAUCCCUGGGUGGGGAAGAUCCCCUGGACAAGGAAACAGCAACCCACGCCAGUAUUCUUGCCUGGAAAAUUCCAUGGACAGAGGAGCCUGGUGGGCUACAGUCCAUGGGGUCGCAAAAGAGUCAGACACGGCUUAGCAACUAAACAACAAAGACACCCAGAAGUGGGAUCGCUGGACCUUACAAUUUCCAUUUCUAAUUUUUCGAGGAACUGCCAUAUUGUUUCCCAGAGCAGCUGCACUGUUUCACGUUCCCAGGAACUGUACACAAGAUUGCUUAAAGUCCAUUUUAACAUGAGGUUAACUGAGGUACCUGGUCUUCACCCAUCAGGGGGAUGCCGAGCUGCACGGAGUGGGGGUCAGUGAUGACAGGUCGAGGCUACUCCCCAGCACCAGGGCUGAUGAGCCACAUGAAAGCCGAGCAGGAAGUGUGGAGGCUGCUGCAUGGACUUGGGAAUAUUGGACAAGAGCAAACGUUCACACACUGGUACCCUGAGGUGGCCACACAGCAUGGUGGCAUGCUCUCAAAGACACACAGUUACUCUUCCAGGGUGAGAAAUGCGUAAUUCCUCCAGUCUACUGGAAUCUAUGCUCCUGAAGCCUAGGUGAAAUUCCUCAGCUGACCCCAGGAGCUCUCAGAGCUGAAGCUCUCCCUAACAGAUAGCAAGGACAAGGGAUGUCAGAAACACUUCCACCUAAGCUGACGACCUGGGUCAGUCCUAACUCUCUGAGACUCAGAGCUCUCAGACUGGGGGUUCGCCCAAGGUAAAAACUGCUUGUGCAGAUUCAAUGAGAUAUUCAUUCAUACGAACACACUUUUUAAAACAUGGAGUGUGAAAAAAAAAAAUGCACAGCCUGAACAUUGAGGGCUGCGUUAUAACUCCAUGGACAAGACUGAGGACUUAAGGCCGGGACACAACAGCGGAGGGACUGCUCUGAAGAAGCAAGGGAGGGGCUAGGAUAUCCAGGAGUUUCUGUAACAAAGAUCAGCUACACGGAACAGCAAAAGGUGACUGCCAAUUAAAGAAAGCCAGACAUCUCAAGUUAAUGAAUUUAGUGCUUUGCUAUGUAUGGGAAGGUGCAGGAGUCUGGGCUCAGGGAAGGUGCAGGAGUCUAGGCUCACUGAAACCAUCCCUUUGAUCUGCGCCUCAGCUGUCUGGGGCCAGAAUCCUGCCAUCCUCACCCCGGGUCUCCUCAGAGACGCUGCUGCGGUGGGCAGGGGGCUGCAACAGCUGAUGGUUGAUGGCGAGCACCCUGUCUCCCCCUGAGUUCCCUCAGGGCUCAUCAUCCUAACGCUUGUGGCUUGAUGACUUCAACACCCUCUGCUCAGUACCAUGGCAGACAGCAUUCUUCAUUCACAAGAGUUACUGCAAAGCAGUAGUUCUCCUGAAAUAUCACUAUCGUUUCCAGAACUGAUCUCUCCUCUCCCAAGGCACAAACUAAAUUUGGUUCGGCUAUGGCCCGCUGCUCAAUUUCCAUAGUUGGAUUUUCUUUUUAACCUCGAUCCUCACCACACAACUGGAGAAAGGAAAAGAUAAAAAAACAAAAACGAAGAGGCACUACCGAGAGAGAUCAGAUGGAUCCGUGCCGCUCACCAGGAGGGGGCGGAGAGGAGCACAACAGUGAUAUUUGGGAAACCUGAGGACUGGGCCAGAGAAAACAGGUCCAGAGAGAUGGAUUCGUGACCCAGAAAAGAAACCGCACUUUGAUUCUCAAGUGGGAUGAACUGGCUACAAACCCAAGCCAUCAGACCACGGGAGG